CCAAAUAUUUAUUAUUAUUAUCUCACAAGAGCGAAUGUGUAAGUAUUAACUGUAGAUAGCUCUACCAAGUUUUAAAAGUUUCAAAAGAUAAUUACUAAUUGAUUCAUGAUAAAUCUUACGAUUUUUAGUCUUUUGAGACUAAUUAUUCUUA
rnacentral:sRNA from 1 species